rnacentral:rRNA from 1 species
AAAACCCGGUACUCAGUUCAGAUUGCAGGCUGCAACUCGCCUGCAUGAAGUUGGAAUUGCUAGUAAUCGCGAAUCAGAAUGUCGCGGUGAAUACGUUCCCGGGCCUUGUACACACCGCCCGUCACACCAUGAGAGUCGAUAACACCCGAAGCCUGUGAGCUAACCGCAAGGGGGCAGCAGUCGAAGGUGGGGUUGAUGAUUGGGGUGAAGUCGUAACAAGGUAAC